rnacentral:rRNA from 1 species
GAUGAACGCUAGCGGGAGGCUUAACACAUGCAAGUGGAGGGGUUAAGUAGCAAUAUUUAGAGACCGGCGCACGGGUGAGUHACNCGUAUGCAACCUGCCCUUACCGGGGGAUAGCCCGUAGAAAUGCGGAUUAAUACCCCAUAGUUCUGUUAAGCCGCAUGUUUUACAGAUAAAGUUGAGGCGGUAAAGGAUGGGCAUGCGUGACAUUAGCUUGUUGGUGGGUAACGGCCCACCAAGGCUACGAUGUCUAGGGGUUCUGAGAGGAAGAUCCCCCACACUGUACUGAGACACGGACCAGACUCCUACGGGAGGCAGCAGUGAGGAAUAUUGGUCAAUGGCGCGAGCCUGAACCAGCCAUCCCGCGUGCAGGAAGAAUGCCCUAUGGGUUGUAAACUGCUUUUCGCAUGAAGAACAUCCCGGUCGUGACCGGGACUGACGGUAAUGCGUGAAUAAGCACGGCUAACUCCGUGCCAGCAGCCGCGGUAAUACGGAGGGUGCAAGCKUUAUCCGGAUUUUUGGGUUUAWAAGGGUGCGUAGGCGGCAAUUUAAGUCAGUGGUGAAAUCCUGCAGCUUACUGUAGAACAGCCAUUGAUACUGAAUUACUUGAGUAAUCUUGAGGUAGGCGGAAUGUGUGUGUAGCGGUGAAAUGCUUAGAUAUUACNCAGAACNCCGA